UCGAACGCGUGUAGCAAUACACGAGUUGGCGCACGGGUGAGUAACGCGUGGAUAUCUGCCUUUUGGUUCGGAAUAACUCCGGGAAACUGGAGCUAAUACCGGAUGGGUUCCUACGGGAUAAAGAUUUAUCGCCAAAAGAUGAGUCCGCGUACGAUUAGCUAGUUGGUGAGGUAAUGGCUCACCAAGGGCGACGAUCGUUAGCUGGUCUGAGAGGACGAUCAGCCACACUGGGACUGAGACACGGCCCAGACUCCUACGGGAGGCAGCAGUGGGGAAUAUUGGACAAUGGGGCAACCCUGAUCCAGCCAUGCCGCGUGAGUGAUGGAAGGCCUUCGGGUUGUAAAGCUCUUUUGGCGGGGACGAUGAUGACGGUACCCGCAGAAUAAGCCCCGGCUAACUUCGUG
rnacentral:rRNA from 1 species